UCUAUCCUAAACCAUUCUAUCCUAGGCGACCUUUGUGAUGACGACAAAUGAAGAUGGUUCGAAGAGGUGUGAAAAGCAUUGGAGUUCACUAUUUAGGGAAGGUGAAGGCGCGAAUUGGGGCUGCGCAAUUCUAGGGUUUCUGUUUCUGAUUUUGGGAUGAACUAUGUUGAUUUUCUGGGUUUGUAGAUUAAGAACCGCCAAGGAGAAAGAUGGGGACAUUAGACUGCUUCUGCGUCAUAGCGGAGGUGCAUUUGUUCGCUGCUGAUUGUGUUUCUGGAUGAGGGGAACUCGCGGUGGAGGUUUGAACGAUGUUGCUUGCGACGCGAAGAAGAGGCUCCUAGUGGUGGUGUGUUUCGCUUCGCGGCAGCGGCGACAAGGUUGCUCACGGUGGCGAUCUCGAUGGUGCGGUAUAUGAAGGCAAUGACGGCGGCUUGCGGCAUUGACGCCUUCAUCGCCAGAGAAUUAGAGGUGUGGUAUCGCUAGAUGUGGCACUAGCUUGUUUGAGAGCUUCUAGCACUUGUAGGAUUUGUGGCGAAUAGAACAAGAACAAUUUAUGGUUUGCCAUUUUGGGAUUUUUACGGUGCUGGUUGGCAAAGAGAUAUUGAUCAUGGCUGAUGAUGGUUGAUGAAGUUUUAAUGGAGGAUGAGAUCCUCUGUGGAUGAGGAGGAACGAAGCUUGUACGGUGUUUUCUGAAUGUUGCUUCCAUAAUCUUUUCAUUUUUUUUAAUUUACUAAAUUUCAUGUCAUAAUUUAAUUAUUUUUACUUAAUAACAUAUAUACAUCAAUAUAUU
rnacentral:sRNA from 1 species